UUAAUUUCUAUUACAAUGUGGGUAGACAUUUAUUUGUGUAAAUCCAUGACUUAGGUAAAAUCUAACGAAUUUUUGUUUCAAAAUAUAAUAGAGGAAACUUAGAUUGCAGGUGAUAGAAGCCAUCGCCUAGAAUGUGAAAAAUCUCUCACGGGCAAUGGUCUCCAUUACUUGGGCGACAGCAGCCAUUGCUCGCACUUCACACAGGCAAUUGUCUCCAUCAACUACAAGAGUUGGGCAAGAGUUGUUUCGCUCUUGCGGAUGAUGGUCACAUUCACUUCACAUAAUUGUAUUUUUAAUGUUAAUUAUUUGUAGUCAAUUGUAUUUUUAAAGAAAUACAAUUGUUGUUUUAAUAAAGUAAUUAUAUUUAUUUUAUUUUUGCUUCAGGUUUAAUGGAAUUAACAAUUGUGCUUAAAAUGUGUGUAUAACAAAUCAUGUGAAACUUACGUUAAUGGUUGUAUGAAGAACAAGAAUGGAAAAGUUAAAGUUUUUUUUUUAAUUUGGAAUGAAACAACUUUCAAAUAGUUUAUUGCUAUGGUAUAUUAAGUGUUGAAGUUAAGUUCAAAUAAAUAUUCCAUGACAAUAAAAACAGUUUGGGGCACAAAUUAUCCUAUGCAACCCAUUGGUUCUUUACCUAUGGACAUAUUAGAUGAUGAAAUAGUGAAUGUUAUUAUAUGUAUGAACUCUGAUUGGAUAAACUAUGGAAAAACUCUUGUAUUGUAAUUACCUCAACUAAGGUUACAAUCUAAGCCCCUUUGAUGCCGUCUCGACAAGCUUAAGCUCCUUUGAUAUGACAAAUAUUAGAAUAAUAUUUAAACAAAUAAAAAAUAUAUACAUUUGAGACAUCAGGGCGAUAGAUUCUAUUGCCCAUGUCAAAGUAGGCAAUGGAGCAUUGGCAAUAGUAGUCAUCGCUCUCAUUUCACCCAAAACCAGUGCUAAGAUGUGAAAAAAAAAAUGAAAUAAGUUUAAAAUUCAUCUUAGUAAGCUUUUUUGGUAUUAAAGGGGUAAUAAUUAGGGAAUAACUCUGCAAAAUUAUUGAGAUAAUUAAAAAAUUAUUAGAGGCAUUUUAACAAACACCUAAUGUGUCAUAUUUUACAAGUAUUAAUAUUUAAAAAAAACUUUGAAUUGUUCGUGCCAAUACAUAUCCUAGUGCUGCUAUUCUAUCAAUAAUAAUCCAUGAAUCAAUUCAGACUUGUGAUAGUGUGAGAGAGCCAUACCUUUGAGUUGAAGCUAAUCUUUACGCGAUUGUUAUUGCAAGCUUUGUUGCUGACAAUGGGGGUUGUGGUGGGCAAUGUAGGAGAUUUGGGCGAUUCAAGUGAUUUGGGCUAUGGUCUUGGGCAAUGCACUAUUUAUUUGGAUAUGGUUACU
rnacentral:lncRNA from 1 species